AGCUUGUAGCAUUGAAACUGUAAGUGCCUUCAUACUAGUGACAGAACCAUUUAUGUUUCGAGUCUCCAAAUGAACUUUGUUGAUUAUUAUGGCUAUCUGAUUUACAAUUUGGUCCUUUGAUUUGAACCUGGAGGAAGAGGAGGUUAUGAAACUUGCUUCUCUAGGUAACAAGGCUAACAAAAAAGAGACUAUAGACAUUUUAAAAAAGACUUUGGUCAUUCGCAACAAGAGUUGCAAAUAAUUGACAGCCACAUGCAAUGUUCUAGGAAGAGAAGAAGCCCGUGCUCUUCGCAAACUCGGGAAGGCAAAAGCGAAGAUAAAGAAACUAAAGGUAAAUUUAUCACGACCGAAUAAGUGAAUUGACCAUGGUUAAUUUGAUUCAGGAUAUUCUAACAUGUGGCCAUUAUCAAGCAAGGAUCCAAGAACUGAAGACAGCUGUUGAAGUAAAAGAUAAUGAAGUUCUGAGGGCUUUAAAAGCUUCCAAGAAAACUAUUCUUGAAGGGGAUAUACUGAACGAUGUUGAUUGGAAUUCUAACUCUUGAUCCAUUAGUGAGGAUUUAACUGUUGAGAAAAACUAUUUUUCAAGGUCAGAGGCACCUUCAGAUACAAGAAGUGAAGUGCAUAGACCAUGUAACAAGGAUGGGGUUUUAAGGUUCAAGAAGUGCAUUUUGGACAAAUGAAGAUUGAGAGGUUGUUGAUUCACUUAGUAGUCGUCCCACUGUUCGGCCAAUGUCACAUCAACAACAAUCUCAUGCAUUUUCAUCCCAAGAGGUGAGCAAUCAUUUAAUCAAAGCUUUUUUGACAAUACAAUAUCUUAUUAAUUACAAUACUUGUCCUUAUUAAAUAUAGGUUCACCUUUCAAAGAAAGGGAAGAAGAAGAAGAACAAGAACAAGAACAAGAAGAAGAAGAAGAACUAACAAGGUAAAAGUACUACACAUCACUAGUUUUUAAUUUCUCACUUUUCUAAUUCUAUUAAGACAUGAUGUGAUUUGGUGUUGGAAAUUAGUGAGUAAGCCAAAUCAACCACAUAGUUUUAUAUAUUUUUAAAUAUGGCAUGGAAUUAAAUCUAUUUCAUUUCUUGUACUUGUGAUUUGGCUACAAUUGAAACAGAGCCUGAUUUUGUCAUGGACCUAGUCAGGUCUUUCUUAUCAACAAUUGUGUAGUUUGUUAGAACAUUAUGAGUCUAGUAUGUAGACCUGACGAGUCUUCAUAUGAAUUGUGUAAGUGGGUUAAUUUAUAAUGUCCCAUUACAUCAUGGUUCUGUCCAUCUGACCCUUCCAUAUUGAAUGGAGACCCUUACCUCAUGGUUAAGUUACAAUUCUUUUUUGUUGGCAAUCAAAAAAACAAAAGAAAAAGAAAAAAAGAAUAGGCCUUAUUGAUUCUACAUGUUCAAUUUGAAAGUUGAGGACCUUGUUCAAUGUGUGGUUUGCAGAUAACAUCAUAACUUGUAGCUUUUCUAGUUCCAUUUGAAAGUUGAAGUCUCAUAUAGACUGAAGAAGGGAGCAGUGUUUUGAAAUGAUUUUAAGCACUGCAGAAUUAUUGGCAUCUUUUCAUUUAGCUGAUUUUUAGUUGUCGUGGAAGUAGUGUUUUCAUUUAUGCUAUUUUCCUGUUCUAUGAAUUCAAUUGUUAGAAAGAUAUGCUGGCCACUUAGUUAGGCAGAUUUUUAUAGUAGAUGGAGCUUUGUGAUUUAAAGUUGCCAGAUGUAGAGAAGGAGUGUAUUACUUUACAUCAAACUCCUUUCAAAGUGCAUGGAAAGGAUGUCAUUAGUGGUGUUGGGGAGUUGAUUCCAACUAAUAUUUAAGCGUGAAUAUUGAGGAUGAAAGAGUUAUCCAUAUCUGAAUGUCUCCUCGUGUCAUUAGAUAUUUAUGGGUUUCACUUGUAUUGGCAAUGCUCUUUUUCUCUGAAAAUGUGCAUAGGAUAGAUUAGGGACUUUUGAAUUCUAAAGGAGAAAUGACUUCAAAAUA